rnacentral:misc_RNA from 1 species
GAACUUCAGAAAAUGAUGGAAAUCAAUGAUGCUGAAGCCAACACUUCACAAGCACCCUCUGGAACCUCAAAUAGCAAUACUAAACCACAAUUUUUGGAAAAAAUGGUGCAAAGCAUUGCGUUUGAAUGUAUUGCAACAGUGAUAAUAAUGGGAAGCUGUGUUGUAAUGGCUUUUGAUGAUAUGUAUAUCGAAAUGAAUCCCAGACAGCAUAGAAUUGUUAAUAUUUUAAACUUUACUUUUGCUUUCAUGUUUAUUUUUGAGAUUUUUUUAAGAGUGACUGGAAUUGGAUUUAAAAAGUAUUUUUCAAAUGCAUGGACAGUUUUCGACUUCAUUAUAGUUUUGGUAUCCGUACUUGAAAUAAUUCUCAUUUCGGUUUCUGGGCAAUUGCAUGGUGCAACAAGUGUCAAACUUCUUAGGGCAUUACGUCCUUUAAGAUUUAUUCCUAGAUGGAAAGGAAUGCAGAUGGCUGUUCAAGCUCUUCUGUUAUCCUUUCCUGCAAUAUUCCGAGUGUUAGGUGUGUGUAUGUUCAUUUGGCUGUCAUUUGCUGUUCUUGGUGUUCACUUUUUUAGUGGGAAUUUUUUCCGUUGUGUCGAUUCAAAUCAUGAAAUGGUGACUGAACCAAUAGUUGAUAAAGAUGACUGCAUUCAAAAGAAUUUGAUUUGGGAAGAGCCUUUUUUUACCUUUGAUCAUAUUGGAAUCAGCUAUUUAUCAUUAUCUCAGCUGGCAAUGUUAACAGGUUGGACAGGAUUAGUGCAAAUGAUGGUUGAUUUCAAGGACAGGGACUUACAACCAGAAGAAAACAGUCGUCAGGAGUAUUAUAUAUUCGUUGUGGUUUUUAUUCUUGUUGGUGGCUUUUUUAGUCUGAAUCUUAUUGUGGGAGUUGUGGUGGAUACAUUCAAAAAUAAACAAAAACAUGUUGAUGAUGGUGUCACUGAACUAUUACUAACAGAUGCACAAAAAGGGUACUAUAAUUCCUUGUUAAAACUAAGCACACGAAGACCAAAAGUUCAAACUGAAGCUCCAACCAGUCCCUUUUUAUUUUUCUUCUAUAAAGUUGCAUAUAGUUUAUGGUUCAGAGUUUUAAUUCUGCUGUUUAUUUGCACCAAUACUGUAAUUAUUGCUCUAGAAUCGUACAAUGAUUCACCUUUGAAGCAGAAAAUUCUUAGCUUCUGUAAUAUUGUUUUUACAAUAAUCUAUAUCAUAGAGCUUGCUAUAAAACUUCUUGGAUUACGAAAAUUCUACUUUAAGGAUUUUUGGAACAAUUUUGACUUAGUUAUAUUACUUGCUCACUUAGCUGGUAUGCUUCUACAUACAGCUCUAAAAAUUAGCACCGGCCAUGCUCAACUGACGUUUUUGUAUGUGUUUCGCCUUUUUAGAGUCUUGCGUUUGCUUCGCUUGACAGAAAGUUUAACUGAUCUUCGACACUUACUGUACUCGAUGAUUGCCUCUGUCCCGGCUUUGCUAAACAUAAGUCUACUACUUCUUUUAAUUAUUUUUAUUUAUGCUAUCAUAGGAAUGUCUUUAUUUGCUAAUGUUGAAUACCAUGGAGCUAUAGGUCCUAAAAUUAACUUUGAGACUGCACUAAAUAGUAUGCUACUCCUUUUCCGUUUGACAACAAGUGAAGGAUGGGAAGAUAUUCUUCAGUUUAUAAGUACAGAGAAAAUGCACUGUAAUCCAAGUCUAUCAAAUAACUGUGAAUUAAUGGUUUCUAUCGGAUUUGGAAACAAUUUGAUCCAAGAGCUACGCAGUUCAUUCCAUAUGAAAAUUUAUCAGAUUUCCUAAAUCAGCUUGAUAAAGAACUAAGAAUUCCAAAACCUAAUGAUAUUGCUGUGAGCUUCAUGAAUCUGCCCAUUGCUCAGGGAAAUAAAGUUCAUUGCUUGAGUGUUCUAAAGGGUAUACUGAAAAUAAAAAUUGGUAAUAUAGAUGACUCGGCUACAUUUCAAAACCUCUGUAAUAAAAUACAAGGAAAAUAUGAAAAAAUGUUCCCAGAAUUGAAAGGUUUUCGAUUUAUUGAAACUACAAUGCAAUU